rnacentral:rRNA from 1 species
UGGGGAAUCUUGCACAAUGGGGGAAACCCUGAUGCAGCAACGCCGCGUGAGCGAAGAAGUAUUUCGGUAUGUAAAGCUCUAUCAGCAGGGAAUAGAAAAGAAGGUACCUGACGAAGAAGCCCCGGCUAACUACGUGCCAGCAGCCGCGGUAAUACGUAGGGGGCAAGCGUUAUCCGGAUUUACUGGGUGUAAAGGGAGCGUAGACGGCUGUUUAAGUCAGAAGUGAAAACUCAUUGCUUAACGAUGGGAGUGCUUUUGAAACUAAAGAGCUAGAGUGCAGGAGAGGUAAGUGGAAUUCCUAGUGUAGCGGUGAAAUGCGUAGAGAUUAGGAGGAACACCAGUGGCGAAGGCGGCUUACUGGACUGUAACUGACGUUGAGGCUCGAAAGCGUGGGGAGCAAACAGG